UUAAGUUCAGCGGGUAUCCCUACCUGAUCCGAGGUCAAGCGUUAAAAAUGACUUGAUGGUUGCUAGUAUUCUAGGCUAGAAUCGCAAAUUGUGCUGCGCUUCAAUACCAAAACACUGGCUGCCAAUUGUUUUAAGGCGAGUCCAAACACGAGGGAGUGGACAAACACCCAACACCAAGCUUAGCUUGAGAGUACAAAUGA
rnacentral:misc_RNA from 1 species